rnacentral:rRNA from 1 species
AUUGAACGCUGGCGGCAGGCCUAACACAUGCAAGUCGAGCGGAUGAAGGGAGCUUUCUCCUGGAUUCAGCGGCGGACGGGUGAGUAAUGCCUAGGAAUCUGCCUUGUAGUGGGGGAUAACGUCCGGAAACGGGCGCUAAUACCGCAUACGUCCUGAGGGAGAAAGUGGGGGAUCUUCGGACCUCACGCUAUCAGAUGAGCCUAGGUCGGAUUAGCUAGUUGGUGGGGUAAAGGCCUACCAAGGCGACGAUCCGUAACUGGUCUGAGAGGAUGAUCAGUCACACUGGAACUGAGACACGGUCCAGACUCCUACGGGAGGCAGCAGUGGGGAAUAUUGGACAAUGGGCGAAAGCCUGAUCCAGCAAUGCCGCGUGUGUGAAGAAGGUCUUCGGAUUGUAAAGCACUUUAAGUUGGGAGGAAGGGCCGUAAGUUAAUACCUUGCUGUUUUGACGUUACCAACAGAAUAAGCACCGGCUAACUUCGUG